GCAUUGGGAGGCGCGGGCCGUUCCUCAGUCCGGCGACACAGUCGCGGCCGUCAGGAAGAAGGGCAGGGGUUUGGGGCAGGACGCCUGUGAGGGGGCCGGGGCGGGCGGCGGCGGCCGGGCGCUGCGGGUGGGCGUGCUGGCUCGGAGGGGGCUCUGGUGGGGCCCCUGGGCUGGGGGCCGUCCGUCCCGCAGCAGUGCCGGCGCGGCGGCGGGCCCGAGCAGAGGCCAGGGCCGGGGGGACCCGGUGCUGCAGCCGACGCCCGCGGAAGGCUCCGUGUGUCCCGCCGCGCGGCCGGCGCUGAGGUGCUUUAGCGCGUCGUGUUCCGCUCCCGAAGAGCGCGACGGGGAGCGACGUUUCCUGACCAAAGCCUUCCCUGCGGCCUGAGGUGGCCGGGACCCGCUUGUUCGCUCCUCCCGGAGUCGCGCGUUUGUGCUCUAACCUUUGGUGCUUCCCUCCGCAGGAGGAACCUUGGUAGAUUCUAAAACCCCUUUCCCUCGUUUGCGGGCCACGUAGCCGCGCCGGUCUUGGGAUUCCUAAUCCCCAGUGUCAAAGUAAAUAGCCAUGAGCUGUGGGAACGAGUUUGUGGAAACGUUGAGGAGAAUCCACUACCCCAGGGCUGUGGCGCUCAAUGGGGAGGAUUUUGAUUGGCUGUUCGAGAGGGAGAAAGAGGAGGCGUUUCUGAGGUGGUUCUGUGGCGCGGUGAGUGAGCUGCACGUCCUGGCCGACGAGGAGCUGAAGGCAUUCGCGGAGCUGCAGGAAUCUGGCCAGCCUGUCCUGGAAGGAGCCGCGUUGGAGGAAGCCCUCAAAACCUGCCAGCCUUCCGCUUGGAGGACACCUGCCCUGGAAGAUAAGGAGCUCGAGAAACUGGAGGAGGAGCUUCGAACGCUGCAGAAAUUAAAAAACCUAAAAAUUCAGCGACGCAAUAAAUACCAGUUGAUGGCCUCAGUAACCAGUCACAAGUCACUGAGGUUACAGGCUAAAGAAGAGGAAGCCACUAAAAAGCUGAAACAGAGUCAGGGAAUACUAAACGCUAUGAAUAUUAAGGUCAGCAAUGAACUUCAGGCUCUUUCUGAUUUAGUAGCAAAAUUAAUGACGUUUUUCAGGAUUUCUGAUUUUGGUCAAGGGACAGAUCCACUGGUGUUUAUGUCUCAGUUUUCCUUGGAGAAAUACCUGAGCCAAGAAGAGCAAAGCACAGCAGCAUUAACUUUAUAUACCAAAAAACACUUUUUCCAGGGUAUACUCGAAGUAGUUGAAAGGUCGAAUGAAGAAAAUUUUCAACUUUUAGAUAUACAAACACCAUCUACUUGUGACAAUCAAGAAGUUCUUGAGGAGAGACGAUUGGAGAUGGCUAGACUGCAUCUAGCAUACAUUUGUAUUCAACACCAGUUAAUUCACUUGAAAGCGAAUAAUUUGAGCAUGAAAUCAAGAAUUAAAUGGGUAGAGGAGAACCUUCAUCGCCUCACUGACAAGGCUGUUGUCAAAGAUAAUGUGGAUGCUAAAAUUUCAAGUUUGAGCAGUGAGAUUCUCAAACUUGAAGAAGAAAUCGCUCAUAUGAAAGAGAAAAGUUUACCUGCUCUUGUAAGAGAGAAUGCUCAGUUGUUGAAUAUGCCAGUUGUUAAAGGAGAUUUUGAUCUGCAGAUUGCUAAACAAGACUGUUACACAACAAGACAAAAAUUCGUUCUAAGUCAGUUGAUAAAGCAGAAGGCAUCAUUUGAGCUUCUACAGUUGUCAUAUGAGCUUGAAUUGAGAAAGCAUUGGGAUAUAUAUCAUCAACUUGAAAAUUUAACUCAAGAACUUAGUAAAAGUAAUGUAAUACUCCACCAGCAAUUAGAAAUGCUAACAGACCCGUCAGUAUCUCAGCAGAUGAAUCCAAGGAAUAUUAUCGAUACAAAGGAUUGUUCUGCACAGAGACUUUACCAGCUUUUAGAAGGAGAAACCAAGAAAAGAGAAUUAUUUAUAACCCAUGGAAACCUUGAGAAAGCAGCUGAAAAAUUUAAAAUGGAUGUUUCUUCAAUACAAAAUAAAUUUGCAAUUUCUGCCCAGGAACAUUUUUUUUUUCUAUCCAAACUGAAUAAUGAUGUGGACAUGCUUUGUGAUGCCCUGUAUCAGGGAGGAAAUCAGCUUUUGCUUAGUGAUCAGGGAUUACACAUUAACAUGUUCCUGGGCUCUCCAGGCGGCUCUCUCUUGCUGCCUGCAUUUGGUGCUCCCAGACCGCUUUUCCACCCGAGACGGCCAUUGCCUUGGACGGACGAAGGAAGAACAAGAGCCAAGCUGGUUGCUGAUUAGUUGCCGUUUAUUAAAUCUGCCAUGUCUCCCAGCUCUCUCCAACCUUCUCCUCUAACCCUGUGUCUCUUGCAACCUUCUGUCCUCUUCUGUUUCUCUCUCUUUCUCUCUCUAUCAGGAGACAAAGGAGUUAAUGGAGCAGUUUCAUCAAGUGGAAUCUCAAAUGAAUAAGCUAAAUCAUCUUUUUACUGAUAUUCUUGCUGAUGUGAAGACAAAAAGGAAAAUGUUGGCAUCUAAUAAGCUCCAUCAAAUGGAAAG